rnacentral:lncRNA from 1 species
CUGACACACUCCAUACUGUCCCCCCUCCCUACCUGACUUGGUUUCUCUCUGCCUCGCUCCUGGGAUCACUGUCUGUCUCCAACUAGGGUCCCCUUUUGCAGAUUGACCCCAAACGCCUGCCGGAGUUUCUGGGACCCAGGGCCCCUCAGCUGAAGCCCCUGCACUGACCCUCCUGUGAGCCGUGUGCUGUCAGAGCCUCACAUCCUGUCAGCUGCCCUCUGAGGAGACCUUGGGGCCUCCCCCCACACCAGCAUGUCAUGAGUGGGCCCCUCGCCCAGCCCAGGCGCUGUCCCCAUGGAGCGAGGCCAAGGUGUGGCUGGCUGAGUUCUCCAGGGUUGGCACCAGCUCCACACAGAUGGGCGGAGGCCAUGUCCUCUGUGCCCUCAGCGGGCAGCAGGGCAAGCACUGAAGAAGCCAGCCUUGUCCCGUCUUCAUGGAGGAGAUGAACAGGGAGCCGAGGUGCAGGCCACUGUGGGGACCCAGGCGGGGAGGAGGGUAGGCGCAGGCCAAGGAGGGAAAGGGUUGACUUGAGAGGCUUUUUGUUGGUAGAGGCAGCAGGAGUUCCCGAGGGCUGGGCUGGGCUGGGUGAAAGCAAGAGAAUAGAAGACACGGAUAUUAGGUUUGGGCUUCCGAUGUGGGCUGGGCCUGCGUUCGGUUGGUGGGAAUGUAAAUUAGAAUAGCCACUGUGGAAAACAGUGUGGAGGCUCCCCAAAACAAGUGAAAACAGAGCUACCAUGCGAUCUGUCAAUACCAUUCCUGGGUGUGUGUCCAAAGGAAAAGAAAUCAGCGUGCAAAGAGGUAUCUGCUCUCCCAGUCUUAUUGCUCACAAUCGCCAAGACAUGGAAUCAAUCUAAGUGUCCACCAGGGGAUGAACGGAUAAAGUGUGGUACAUACACACAGUGGAAUAGUACUCAGCAUUAAAAAGGAAAAACGGAGCCGGGCAUGGUGGCACAUGCCUGUAGUCCCAGAAACUUGAGAGGCUAAGGCAGGAGGAUCCCAAGUUAGAGACCAGCCUCAGCAACUUAGCAAGGCCCUAAGCAACUUAGUGAGACCCUGUGUCAAAAUAAAAAAUUAAAAAAGGGCUGGAAUAUGGCUCAGUGGUAAAGCCCCUGGGUUCAAUCCCCAGUACCCAAUCAAUCAAUGGAUCAAUGGAGAAAAGAAAUACUAUACAGCAAGAUGGAUGAGCCUGGAGGUUAUCACAUUAAGUAAAAUAAUUUAGGUUAUGGAAAGACAGACAUUACAAGAUCUCACUUAGGUGUGGAAUCCAAAUUUGUCAAACUCAGAAACAGAGCAGAGGGAUAUUUUCCAGAGGCUGGGUGGAGGGGCACUGGGGAAAUGUUGGUCAAAGGAUACACAAUUUUAGUUAGGCAAGAGGAAUAAGUUUAGGAGAUCCAUGUAGGACGCGCUAACCACCGUUAAUAACAAGGUGCCAUGUAUUUUAAAAUUGCUGAGAGGAGGUUUUCGGUGUUCUCACCAGGCACACACAAACAGGCACCAGUUAUGUGAAGUAAUUCAUGCUAAAUAGCUUGAGUUAGCCCUCCGCCUGCUGUAUGCCAUCAAUAGGUACAAGUUGUCCUUGUCAAUGAAAAACGAAUGAUAAGCCAGGCACGGUGGCACACGCCUAUAAUCCUAGUGUCUCAGGUGACUGAGGCAGGAGGAUCCAGAGUACAAAGCCAGCCUCAGCAACAGUGAGGUGCUAAGCAACUCAGUGAGAGCCUGUCUCUAAAUAAAAUACAAAAUAGGGCUGGGGGUGGGGCUCAGUGUUCGAGUGCCCCAAGUUCAAUCCCUAGGUAUCCCCCCCCCAAAAAAAAAGGUGCAGUAAACUAUGGAAAAUAGUUGGGUGGUUCCUGCAAAACAAGACUGAGGUGGAUUGUGGGGCAAAGGCAGAUGGGGCUAGGCACGUGUCAGAGGCGGAGUGGCAGAGCAGGUGGUUGACUCAGGGAGCCACAUGACACCCUGGGCCUCCCCGGCUCCAGAGAGCAGCCCCCCGGAGAUGAGCAGAAGGAUGGGGAUCUCUGACAGCCCAUGUCCCUGACAGGCUUAAGGACAAAAGAACACAGCCCCUGACUUUGGGUGGAUGCAGCCUCCCUGUUGGCUGUGUCCCUUGGAAACCUGGGUCACUGGAAGGAGAGGUGACGAGUGGGAGGUGACAUUACUGCUCACCCAGGAGCCAUCUGCUCACUAAUGCAAACAGCCUCGUCUGUCAGGACGGGCGAGAAAAAAUGACCGGGCCACCCUGCGGCGUAGCCCAGGGAGAGGGGUCCCUGGCCCCGUGAGGUAAUCCCUCUGAUGAUGUAUGGCCCGGAGGAGGGUGGGGUUAAUGAUCUUCAGCGGGACCCGGGAGUAAAACCCAGUAAUUUCAUAAUACAGGGUGUGAUGGAUUAAGGCGUGUUAAUAUCAGGAGUAUACAUUAAGGGAAAUGAUCUCGCUGGCAUACUAAAUGGCAAAAUAAAAGCACUUUUAGAAACUUCCAUGAUUAAUUGGUCUGCCCUUUUAGUUCUGUACCAUGAUAAAGUAAAGCUCACUUCUCCUCGUCACCUCCCAGGCAAUCCCUCUACGGCUCCCCGGCCCUCUGAGGACCCCCGGGAGGCCGGCCAGGGGCCAGAGCCCAGACCUGCAGCCUGGGAUAGGCUUGUGCAUCAUUUUCCAGGGGUUCAGAAACCACCAUUUCACGAAGUUCAGAAAUACCACGGGCAAAGCCC